rnacentral:rRNA from 1 species
UAAGGAAUAUUGGUCAAUGGAGGCAACUCUGAACCAGCCAUGCCGCGUGAAGGAUUAAGGCCCUCUGGGUUGUAAACUUCUUUUAUAUGGGAAGAAAUGUACUUUUUCUAAAGUGCUUGACGGUACCAUAGGAAUAAGCACCGGCUAACUCCGUGCCAGCAGCCGCGGUAAUACGUAGGGGGCAAGCGUUGUCCGGAUUUACUGGGUGUAAAGGGCGCGCAGGCGGGAUAAAAAGUCAGUGGUGAAAUCCUACAGCUUAACUGUAGAACUGCCUUUGAUACUUUUAUUCUUGAGUUCGGGAGAGAGAGACGGAAUUCCAGGUGUAGUGGUGAAAUACGUAGAUAUCUGGAAGAACACCAGUUGCGAAGGCGGUCUCUUGGUCCGACACUGACGCUGAGGCGCGAAAGCGUGGGGAGCAAACA